rnacentral:rRNA from 1 species
UACGUAGGAGGCGAGCGUUGUCCGGAGUUACUGGGCGUAAAGGGUGCGUAGGCGGCCGCGCGCGUGGCGGGUGAAAUCUCCCGGCUUAACUGGGAGGGGCCGUGCGAAACUGCCGGGCUUGAGGUCAGAAGGGGUAAGUGGAAUUCCGGGUGUAGUGGUGGAAUACGUAGAUAUCCGGAGGAACACCAGCGGCGAAGGCGGCUUUCUGGUCUGAUACUGACGCUGAGGCGCGAAAGCGUGGGGAGCGAUCCGG